GCCGGCGUAGCUCAGCGGUAGAGCAGCGGAUUCGUAAUCCGCAGGUCGUGGGUUCGAUCCCCACCGCCGGCU
rnacentral:tRNA from 1 species